rnacentral:rRNA from 1 species
GAUGAACGCUGGCGGCGUGCCUAACACAUGCAAGUCGAACGAAGCACCUUACCUGAUUCUUCGGAUGAAAGUUUGGUGACUGAGUGGCGGACGGGUGAGUAACACGUGGGUAACCUGCCCUGUACAGGGGGAUAACAGCUGGAAACGGCUGCUAAUACCGCAUAAGCGCACGAGGAGACAUCUCCUUGUGUGAAAAACUCCGGUGGUACAGGAUGGGCCCGCGUCUGAUUAGCUGGUUGGCAGGGUAACGGCCUACCAAGGCAACGAUCAGUAGCCGGUCUGAGAGGAUGAACGGCCACAUUGGAACUGAGACACGGUCCAAACUCCUACGGGAGGCAGCAGUGGGGAAUAUUGCACAAUGGGGGAAACCCUGAUGCAGCAACGCCGCGUGAGUGAAGAAGUAUUUCGGUAUGUAAAGCUCUAUCAGCAGGGAAGAUAAUGACGGUACCUGACUAAGAAGCUCCGGCUAAAUACGUG